rnacentral:rRNA from 1 species
UACGAAGGGGGCUAGCGUUGCUCGGAAUCACUGGGCGUAAAGCGCACGUAGGCGGGUCCUUAAGUCAGGGGUGAAAUCCCGGAGCCCAACUCCGGAACUGCCUUUGAUACUGGGGAUCUUGAGUCCGGAAGAGGUGAGUGGAACUCCGAGUGUAGAGGUGAAAUUCGUAGAUAUUCGGAAGAACACCAGUGGCGAAGGCGGCUCACUGGUCCGGUACUGACGCUGAGGUGCGAAAGCGUGGGGAGCAAACAGG